rnacentral:rRNA from 1 species
UAACGUCCGUCGUGGAGAGGGAAACAACCCAGACCGCCAGCUAAGGUCCCCAAAUUAUUGCUAAGUGGGAAACGAUGUGGGAAGGCUAAGACAGCCAGGAGGUUGGCUUAGAAGCAGCCAUCCUUUAAAGAAAGCGUAAUAGCUUGUGAGGUUGCUUAAACAGCUAGGAGGUUGGCUUAGAAGCAGCAAUCCUUUAAAGAAAGCGUAAUAGCUCACUAGUCGAGUCGGCCUGCGCGGAAGAUGUAACGGGGCUCAGCAAUAUACCGAAGCUGCGGCAGCACGUAAGUGCUGGGUAGGGGAGCGUUGUGUAAGUGGAUGAAGGUGUGUUGAGAAGCAUGCUGGAGGUAUCAGAAGUGCGAAUGCUGACAUGAGUAACGUAAAAUAAGUGAGAUUCUUAUUGGCCGAAAACCCAAGGAUUCCUACGCAAUGUUAAUCAACGUAGGGUAAGCCGGCCCCUAAGGCGUAGCUGAAGAGUGAAGUCGAUGGGAAACAGGUUAAUAUUCCUGUGCCGCUUAUAUGAACGAAGGAGGGACGGAGAAGGUUAGGUAGGCCUGGCGAAUGGUUGUCCAGGUGAAAGUAUGUAGGUAGAGAUGUUAGGCAAAUCCGGCAUCUUGUUGAUCUGAGGUACGAGACUAAGUCAAACUUGUUUGACGAAGCUAUUGAUACCAAGCUUCCAGGAAAAGCUUCUAAGUAUAUUGUAUAAGCGACCGUACUGUAAACCGACACUGGUGGGUAGGUAGAGAAUACUAAGGCUAUGAGAUAACUCUGGUGAAGGAACUAGGCAAAAUGACACCGUAACUUUGGAAGAAGGUGUGCCCUUGAUGGUGAUAAGACUUGCUCUUUGAGCUGUUGGGGGUUGCAGAUACCAGGUGGCUGCGACUGUUUAUCAAAAACACAGCACUCUGCUAAAUCGUAAGAUGAAGUAUAGGGUGUGACGCCUGCCCGGUGCUGGAAGGUUAAUUGAAGGGGUUAGCGCAAGCGAAGCUCUGGAUCGAAGCCCCAGUAAACGGCGGCCGUAACAAUAACGGUCCUAAGGUAGCGAAAUUCCUUGUCGGGUAAGUUCCGAACCCGCACGAAUGGGGUGUUAACGAUUUCUCCGCUGUCUCCAACAUCAACUCAGCGAAAUAGAAUUGUCUGUGAAGAUGCGGACUACAUACGGCCACGCUGUCUCGGAGAGAGGCUCGGCGAAAUAGAAUUGUCUGUGAAGAUGCGGACUACAUACACCCGCACUGUCUCGACCCGCGACCCAGCGAAAUUGACAUAGGGGUGAAGAUGCCCCUUACCCGCAGCAAGACGGAAAGACCCUGUGAACCUUUACUCUAGCUUGACAGUGAUAUUCGAUUUAGUUUGUGUAGGAUAGGUGGGAGACUUUGACCUUGGGGCGCCAGCUUCAAGUGAGUCAUUGGUGAAAUACCACCCUGAUUACUUUGGAUAUCUAACCGGCGCAAAACGCUGGGACACUGUCUGGUGGGGAGUUUGACUGGGGCGGUCGCCUCCCAAAAUGUAACGGAGGCGUGCAAAGGUUCCCUCAGCAUGAUUGGAAACCAUGCGUAGAGUGCAAUAGCAUAAGGGAGCUUGACUGCGAGACUGACAGGUCGAGCAGGUACGAAAGUAGGCUAUAGUGAUCCGGCGGUCCUGUGUGGAAAGGCCGUCGCUCAACGAAUAAAAGGUACUCCGGGGAU